GAUGAAGAACGUAGCGAAAUGCGAUAAGUAAUGUGAAUUGCAGAGUUCAGUGAAUCAUCGAAUCUUUGAACGCACAUUGCGCCCGCUAGUAUUCUGGCGGGCAUGCCUGUCCGAGCGUCAUUUCAACCCUCAAGCCCCUGGGCUUGGUGUUGGGGAUCGGCGAGCCUCCGCGCCCGCCGUCCCCUAAAUCUAGUGGCGGUCUCGCUGUAGCUUCCUCUGCGUAGUAGCACACCUCGCACUGGGAAACAGCGCGGCCACGCCGUUAAACCCCCAACUUCUGAACGUUUGACCUCGGAUCAGGUAGGAAUACCCGCUGAACUUAAGCAUAUCAAUAAGCGGAGGA
rnacentral:misc_RNA from 1 species